ACCAAUCAUGUGAUUAGCCGGUUAGAACUUUCAAUCCCCGCCUCCCGCCCUGAUCCCCCACAUCCGGGGAGGGGAGAGAGGCCAAUGGCCAUUGGCCAAUGGCCAAUGAUUUAAUCAAUCAUACCUAUGUAAUGUGGUCUCCAUAAGAGCCCAAGAGGAGAGGGUUUAGAAAACUUCCAGACUGGUGAACAUGUGGAGAUUGGGGAGAGUGGAGCACCUGGAGAAGACGUGGAAGCUAAGUUUUUCCCCCAUAUCUUGCCCUAGGCGUCUCUUCCAUCUGGCUGUUCCUGAGUUAUAUCCUUUUAUAAUAAGCCAGUGAUCUAGAUCAUUGGGACAGUUGGAGAAACAGAUCAAGCUUCCAGGAACAAUACCUUGAGGCACGCCACAGACCGGGAGGGAGUUGUUGUCUGUCACCACCACAAACUCCAGAACCACUCCACAGAUCUGUCCUGAGGAGGAAGCGGCCACCGCCACUGCCACUGACUCCAUAACCGUAUUUCACGGAUUAGAGAGGAGACUCCAUCACUACCUCUACCUCUGGCGCCAUUCAUACCAUCAAAACAUGAAUUUCCCAUGCAGACCCUAUUUUCCCGCAGGGCUGAAACCAGGUACAGGCAACAGGAUUAAAGAAGAGGGAAUCCAAAGAGGAUGGCCCUUUGAUGUCAGGCAACCUGGUUACCAUCUCGGAAGGCUCUAAUCACCUGUCUGAGCUUGGCACAGAUCUCUGAUGCCUGAGGGAGAAACUGGCAAGAAUACGAUCAGAACCAAAGCAGAUGCCUGUCCUGAGAAAAGGGAACAUAAUUUUUAGUGAUCUCGAAUGUUCAGGCAGCACUUCAGUCUCCUGCUAGUCACUGUGGGAGAUUUCCAGAUCUAGUCAGUAUCAAGAGACUCUGAGGGGAACAAUGCAGGAGAGCCGCCUCCAGCCUGGCUGUGAUAGCCCUCCCCACAUCUGGAAAAAAUAAAAAAGCAUUUCCUUCUUUCUACAUAACAAACAGUCAAUCAUUUUGAAUGGGUGUUGUUUCAGGACUUCAACUAUUCGCCAUUUUUUUCCUCACUGUUUGAUGCCUGGAGUUUUUUUUUCCUUUGCUUCGCUGGUAGAUACUUUAAGA